rnacentral:rRNA from 1 species
UACGAAGGGGGCUAGCGUUGUUCGGAAUCACUGGGCGUAAAGCGCACGUAGGCGGAUUUUUAAGUCAGGGGUGAAAUCCCGGGGCUCAACCUCGGAACUGCCUUUGAUACUGGAGAUCUUGAGUCCGGAAGAGGUAAGUGGAACCGCGAGUGUAGAGGUGAAAUUCGUAGAUAUUCGCAAGAACACCAGUGGCGAAGGCGGCUUACUGGUCCGGAACUGACGCUGAGGUGCGAAAGCGUGGGGAGCAAACAGG